CUUUAUGUGACAAGGUCCAAGGGCAAACAAGAUGUUUGUGUUUGAAUCUGGGAAAGAACUCGGGCUUCCCAGAUCCACGUCUUACACAAAUGAUUUGCCUUUGUUUGCUUCUUCAGAAAAUGCUAAUUUGCACAUACAAAUUACUGGUGUGCACCUAUGUCCAUACGGAUUUGUGGGAGCAAAUUCAGAGACUGCUUUCCCAAAGCUAACUCAUGAAUUGCAACUCAUAAGAAAGUCUGCACACAAAAGAUAUGUUUCUGAAUAUAAAGAAUCACAAUUUCUAAUCAGUUUCAUUGAUGCUCGGUGUUUCUGGUAACCAUAGUAACAGGCGCACACAAUAAAUGGUGUUUUGUUGAAUCAGUCAUGAGAAAGAAGUCUGGGCAUGGUGAAUCAGACUGAAUCAGAAACAGUUUCCUUUACUACCCUCAUCAAAAUAACUUCAGUGUAACUAGAGGACAAUUCAAAUCAGCAAGACAGGAGAGAAACAAAGAGAAUUAUUUAACCACAGAACAUUUCCUGCAGCCACUGGAGCUCACGUUUUUGUUCAUUCGGGAACAUGCUGGGAGAACAAAUGAGCCCUGCAUAACAGAUAUCAUGCACAUGGCUUAAUGCAUGGUGGGAAGAGCCUCCAGGGAUGAGGGUAACAUGGGAGCCUGCGGAACAAGCCACCGCCACUGUCACUCAUGGAGAAUUCUGACGUGGGGAUAUCCUGCCUCCAGCAAGCUCUUCUUAAAAGUUACCUGAUAAAUUUCAGCUUUGUAAUUUCUUAUAACUUCACACAAAGUGAACUCAUAGGAGAGCUGUUGGAAUUUAGAAGUUAUGAAUAUACAAACAUAAAACUCAAGGUUCAAGAUGACAACGGCCAACUCAAAGAUGCACAAAGCUCUCAUUCAUAUUAAAUGAAUAUGAAGUAAAAGAAAAUGUUGAUUCUCCAAUUCCCCUCAAGGUCAUCUGCCACUCAGCUUUUUCCAUUAGUACUACUCACAAACCGAGUACAACAUUUGCUUUGACAGUCUGCAUUUGCGCUGCAAUUCAAGACAUAUAACUAUCUAUCAAAUAAAUUCAUUUUUAAAAAACACAAUAGAUACAAGUACACUGAUUAGGAGAUACUUUGUAUUGGCAAUGAAUAUCUCAGAUAUGAAGAAAGUUUGCCUGUUUUGCUCAUAGAAAAUAGUUAUUCUGUUUGGCAAACAUAGGCAACUCCUCAGCUGUGACCAAAAACAAAAUAAACAGACAGAAAGUUCAGUGGGAACUAUUCUGAAUAUAUUGCUGUAGAUUAAAUGUAAUUUCAAUGCAUAGAAGGUCAUUUUACAUUGUUAUAGCUCUGUAAGGGUUCCUUAAUUAUAAA